rnacentral:rRNA from 1 species
CCCUUAGAUGUCCGGGGCUGCACGCGCGCUACAAUGGUCGGAGCAGAAUGAAAAGAGACGGCUCCGCGAGGCGGGAGCGUCCUUCGGGGCCUCCCGUUCUUAAUGGUUGACCGUUCCCCGGGUCGACGGGCCCGGGAGAUCGGCUGGAAUCUCGAUCGUGAUCGGGACAGAGUCUUGUAAUUGUUACUCUCAAACGAGGAAUUCCUAGUAGGCGCAAGUCAUCAGCUUGCGUCGAUUACGUCCCUGCCCUUUGUACACACCGCCCGUCGCUCCUACCGAUUGGGUGUGCUGGUGAAAUGUUCGGAUCGGCCGUUUGUCGCGGUUUCCGCGUCAUGUGGCUGAGAAGUUCAUUAAACCCUCCCACCUAGAGGAAGGAGAAGUCGUAACA